UGCAGUCGAGCGGGCACUUCGGUGUCAGCGGCGGACGGGUGAGUAACGCGUGGGAACGUGCCCUCUGGUUCGGAAUAACUCAGGGAAACUUGAGCUAAUACCGGAUACGCCCUUUUGGGGAAAGGCUUGCUGCCGGAGGAUCGGCCCGCGUCUGAUUAGCUAGUUGGUGAGGUAACGGCUCACCAAGGCGACGAUCAGUAGCUGGUCUGAGAGGAUGAUCAGCCACACUGGGACUGAGACACGGCCCAGACUCCUACGGGAGGCAGCAGUGGGGAAUAUUGGACAAUGGGCGCAAGCCUGAUCCAGCCAUGCCGCGUGAGUGAUGAAGGCCUUAGGGUUGUAAAGCUCUUUUAUCCGGGACGAUAAUGACGGUACCGGAGGAAUAAGCCCCGGCUAACUUCGUGCCAGCAGCCGCGGUAAUACGAAGGGGGCUAGCGUUGCUCGGAAUCACUGGGCGUAAAGGGCGCGUAGGCGGCGUUUUAAGUCGGGGGUGAAAGCCUGUGGCUCAACCACAGAAUGGCCUUCGAUACUGGGACGCUUGAGUAUGGUAGAGGUUGGUGGAACUGCGAGUGUAGAGGUGAAAUUCGUAGAUAUUCGCAAGAACACCGGUGGCGAAGGCGGCCAACUGGACCAUUACUGACGCUGAGGCGCGAAAGCGUGGGGAGCAAACAGGAUUA
rnacentral:rRNA from 1 species